GACGGGCAGUUGGUCCGUCCGUGUGCACGAAAACUUUGUAUAGAAACGUCCGAUCACUUUGAAAAUUGGUACACAUGUUCUUAAGGAUAUAAGAAAGGUCGCUAUUGUUUUUCAACGGGCUGGUGCAUACGCGCACAACGCCAACUACAUUUAAUUAACGUAUUUUUGUUUUAAAGGUCACAAAAUCAUUGACCAUAAUAUAACUUGUGAUAAACCUAAUCGCUUACCCAGCAUUUUCCAUUACAUCCAAGGUGUGAACUCUAUAUCUAUAUGAUUUCUGUGUCAUCGGCAAUGAGCAACGUAUUGUUUUUAUUGAUUGUCGGAGGUUGCUUUACAGAAAAACCUUCCGAUAAAUGGAGGUCGCAGUUGCGGCGCGAUUCGUGCAAGAAUACCUAUCGAACCUAAUUUCCUGUUACGUAUUUCAGCUACGUAAACUAACGGGCCAAAUUACAGUCCAAAAACUGCCCAAAACCUAAAAAAAGGGUUUCUUUUAUAACUCGUGAACAUAUGAUUUUCUGUGUUAGUAAAUAAAUAUUCCUUAAACUUAAACCCCAAGUAACUAUGCAGACGAAAAUGUGCGCAUGCGCAACCCAAUUUUGUAUGGAAGGUCAAUGCUAUAUUUGCCCAAUGUGCUUAUUUAUGCACAACAACCUUGAGUAAAAGCAAAACUAAUGCUCAACCAAAAAAUUUGUUUUGCGCAUGUGCAAUCCAAUUUUUUAAAUUUCUUGAGAUAUUUAAAUGGAAUGUUGUAUGUAGGCACCUCGAGUAAAAGCAAAAGUAAUGCUGAUUUGUUUUACACUUUGUCAAGGCGUGUUGUAAAAAUGAUGGGUGAUGCUUAAGGAUCUCGAGGAUCGCUCGCAAUUCAGUUUGCAUCGGAUUGUUUCCUUACAAACUAAUACAUACAUGGCCGGUGGCAGAGAUCACGAAACUUGAUACUAUCAAACCAUAGGCAUGGCACAAAUAUACGUACAUUUGUGGUCAUGGUUUAUCAAAAUGGACAGGCAUAUCCAAAUGUUCAUUAAUUAUUUAUAAUUUAGUAUUCUGUUAAUCAUGUGUAAACUUACAUAAUAUAAUUAAAUUUAGCAUA